rnacentral:lncRNA from 1 species
CAAAAGGCCACUACUCUUACUCUGAUUCUGAGACUGAGGACCUCAUAAACAUAAAGUCACAGCUAGAAGGUUUCUAGAGGACAUGAACUAUUAUAGUCAUUACUCUCCUUAGCAUAAUGCCUGGCACACACUGCGACACCAUUUAGAUGAAUCCUUCAUUGUAGCAACAAAGAAACUGGGCCUGCAGAGGGAGGGUGCCCUACCCAAGGCUCUCCAAGAUUUGGAGAAUUUAAAGAAUGUGGUAUCUAGAAAAAAGCCCAGGCUUGGAGCUUUGGAUGAGACUAUUAACCUUUCUGAGUUUCUGACACUUGGGUAAAGUUGACCUAUCUCACCUGUGAGGAUCAGACAACCUAUGCACUAUGUUUCAAUCAGUGCUAAGCACACAGUUUUUCUACUCUGGCCCUUAACCCUUCCCCAUUGGCCCCUUCUCUCUGAUGCUCCUUUGGAGAUUUUAUCCACCUUUGCCUCAAAGGACCACAAUUAUCAAGUUGAUCACUAAAAUCUCUCAUAUACCGCCACUGGCUAAAUGAGUGCCCAUGGGUUAUCACAAUAAUAAUAAUAUUUACAAAUCAACCAACUCUAGUUGAGACCUACUUUAUGCCAAGUGCCAGGAUAGAGACUUUUGAGAACUUAGUUUUGGGAAAAAAAAUAGAUACUUAUCCUGAAGGCUCUAGAAGAAAAAGAGAGCUCUUACUCAAAGCCAUACAGAAGCACAAACCAAAUAACUUAGGAUCAUGAAGAGGGUGACCCCAGGCUGUAGGAGCAGAGGAUGUGGUGUAUACGCUGAAGUCACAGAUUCCAAUAGCAAGAACUGGGAUUGGAGAUAGUGAAUGAAUCCCUAGCAGAGGAAAAUACAUGAACAAUGGUGAAAAGGCUGGAAACUAAAAGAUGGGAGAAAGGGCAAAAAGAGAGGGUUUUGGAGGUGAAGGGGUCUGACUUCUAUCCUGGCUCUGACUAGCUGUGUGACCUUUCACAGUGUUUUCGUCAUUAAAUAGAAAUUUCCACCUAGCAGCUGGUUUUGAAAAUUAAGCAAGAGUCUACAAGAACCUGACUACCACCUGAUAAUCCAUCAAUAAAUGUUCUUUUUCUCUACUGAAAAAUGUGAGCAUCUCAGCUUGAUGAGAGAACAGAUUCCCAGCCCUCUCUGUGCAUCACAAUCUCCUGGAGAACUUUUUUAAAUAGUUUCAUUCUGUGAAGUGUCUGUUCAGUUCCUUUGCCCAUUUAUUGGUUGGGUUAUUUGUGGGGUUGUUUGUUUAUUUUGGUGUUAAGUUUUUUAGUUCUUUAUCCCUGAAACUAAUGCUCUAUGUGAGGAGCAGGUGGCAAAGAUUUUCUCCUAUUGUGUAGGCUCUUCACACUUUUGUUUGUUCCUCUGCUGUGAAGCAGCUUUUAGUUUGAUGCCAUCCAUUUAUUGCCCAUUUAUUGAUUCUUGAUUUUACUUCUUGCACUUUAGGAGUCUUAUUAAGGAAAUCAGUUCCUGAGAUGAUAUGUUAGAGUGUUGGGCCUACAUUUUCUUCUUGUAUAUACAGGGUUUCUGGUCUAAUACCUAGGUCCUUGAUCCACUUUGAGCAGAGUUUUGUGCAGGGUGAAAACAGGAGCUAAAUUUCAUUCUACUGCGACAGACACUUCACAGAAGAAGAAAUAUAAUUAGUCAACAAAUAUGUGAAAAAAAUGUUCAACAUCUCUAGCAAUUAGAGAAAUGCAAAUCAAAACUACAUUGAGAUUCUUGCUUCAGUCAGAAUGGCAAUCAUCAAGAAUAUAAGUAACAAUAAAUGUUGGUGAGAUGUGCGGAAAAAGGUACAUCAUACAUUGUUGGUGGGACUGCAAAUUGGUGCAGUCACUCUGGAAAGCAGUAUGUAGAUUCCUCAGAAAACUUGGAAUGGAACCACCAUUUGACCCAGCUAUCCCACUCCUUGGAGUAUAUCCAAAACAUUUAAAAAUCAGCAUUCUACAGUGACAGGAUCAUAUCAAUGUUUAUAGCAGCUCAAUUCACAAUAGCUAAACUAUGAAACCAAUAAGUUCCCUUCAAUAAGUGAUUGGAUAAAGAAAAUGUGAUUCACACACACACACACACACACACACACACACUGGAGUAUUACUUGGCCAUAAAGAAGAAUGACCUUAUUAUAUUUGUCAGCAAGUAGAUGGAUAUAGAGACUAUCAUGCUAACUGAAAUAAGCCAAUCCCCCAAAAAUCAAAGGUUGAAUGCUUUCUUUGAUAUGUGGAAGAUAAC